UGUUCGCCCAUUAAAGCGGCACGCGAGCUGGGUUCAGAACGUCGAGAGACAGUUCGGUCCCUAUCCGUCGCGGGCGUAGGAAAUUUGAGAGGAUCUGCUCCUAGUACGAGAGGACCAGAGUAGACUUACCGCUGGUGUACCAGUUGUCUUGCCAAAGGCAUCGCUGGGUAGCUAUGUAGGGAAGGGAUAAGCGCUGAAAGCAUCUAAGGGCGAAGCCCCCCUCAAGAUGAGAUUUCCCAUGAUUUUAUAUCAGUAAGAGACCUGAGAGCUGAUCAGGUAGAUAGGUUAGGAGGGUAAGUGUAGCGAUACAUGGAGCGGACUAAUACUAAUAGCUCAAGGAGUUAUCCAAAA
rnacentral:rRNA from 1 species